GACGAACGCUGGCGGCGUGCUUAACACAUGCAAGUCGAACGGAAAGGCCCUGCUUUUGUGGGGUGCUCGAGUGGCGAACGGGUGAGUAACACGUGAGUAACCUGCCCUUUACUUUGGGAUAACUUCAGGAAACUGGGGCUAAUACCUGAUAGGAGCUCCUGCUGCAUGGUGGGGGUUGGAAAGUUUCGGCGGUUGGGGAUGGACUCGCGGCUUAUCAGCUUGUUGGUGGGGUAGUGGCUUACCAAGGCUUUGAAGGGUAGCCGGCCUGAGAGGGUGACCGGCGACAUUGGGACUGAGAUACGGCCCAGACUCCUACGGGAGGCAGAAGUGGGGAAUAUUGCACAAUGGGCGGAAGCCUGAUGCAGCAACGCCGCGUGCGGGAUGACGGCCUUCGGGUUGUAAACCGCUUUAGCCUGUGACGAAGCGUGAGUGACGGUAAUGGGUAAAGAAGCACCGGCUAACUACGUG
rnacentral:rRNA from 1 species